GAUGAACGCUGACAGAAUGCUUAACACAUGCAAGUCAACUUGAAUUUGGGUUUUUAACUUAGGUUUGGGUGGCGGACGGGUGAGUAACGCGUAAAGAACUUGCCUCACAGCUAGGGACAACAUUUGGAAACGAAUGCUAAUACCUAAUAUUAUGAUAAUAGGGCAUCCUAUAAUUAUGAAAGCUAUAAGCGCUGUGAGAGAGCUUUGCGUCCCAUUAGCUAGUUGGAGAGGUAACGGCUCACCAAGGCGAUGAUGGGUAGCCGGCCUGAGAGGGUGAUCGGCCACAAGGGGACUGAGACACGGCCCUUACUCCUACGGGAGGCAGCAGUGGGGAAUAUUGGACAAUGGACCAAGAGUCUGAUCCAGCAAUUCUGUGUGCACGAUGAAGUUUUUCGGAAUGUAAAGUGCUUUCAGUUGGGAAGAAAGAAAUGACGGUACCAACAGAAGAAGUGACGGCUAAAUACGUGCCAGCAGCCGCGGUAAUACGUAUGUCACGAGCGUUAUCCGGAUUUAUUGGGCGUAAAGCGCGUCUAGGUGGUUAUGUAAGUCUGAUGUGAAAAUGCAGGGCUCAACUCUGUAUUGCGUUGGAAACUGUAUAACUAGAGUACUGGAGAGGUAAGCGGAACUACAAGUGUAGAGGUGAAAUUCGUAGAUAUUUGUAGGAAUGCCGGUGGGGAAGCCAGCUUACUGGACAGAUACUGACGCUGAAGCGCGAAAGCGUGGGUAGCAAACAGG
rnacentral:rRNA from 1 species